GCAUUCCCUCAAUUUUCUUUUAACAGGAAAUUCUUACGUACGCAAAUUUGACCUAAUCGAGCGUCUUGGACAGGCAAAGAUGUGGAUGAAAGCUCUUUUAGUCUGUUCUAUCUUUUUAAUUGCUUCAGGUGGAGUGAUUAAAGAGGACCCAACAACCCCUCUAGUCUCAUCUGCUCCACAAGCUACUGAAGUCCCAGAUCCAGUGUCUAAUAAUGCUGACAAGGAAUAUAAUACCACAAAUACUAACGACGUGGAUGACAAUGUAGAAAAAGAAGACACCGUGUCUCCAACUGAUAUUUCAGAAAAUGCUUCUGAUAGUCAUUCCUCAGAAACAGAUGAAGAAACUACAGAUGGUGAAAUCAAAUCUGGCGAAAAUGAACACUCUGAACAAACUACUUUAAUUGAAACGCCAGAAAAAGAAGAACAACAAUCUACCCCUCUUCCUUCUACCGGUGAUGAUACCGCAAGUUCAUCAACAAAUUUAGUUACGAUCUCAGGUCAAACAACAACUGAUUCUCCCAUUAGAAAUAACGGCUCAAUUGGUACUGGCGGCUCGUCGAUACUUCCAGGCUGGUUCGAACCAAAGGAAAAGAAGCAAAUUAUUCUCAUCAAGGAAAAUGAAAGAGAUGACGACAUUCUGCCCAAGCAGAUUAAAUCAUCAUUUGCUGUUUCUAAAGAUGAGAGCAUUAAGUUGAACUUGAAAAGAGUUGAAAAUAUAAAAGCUUUCCCAACAAUACUCGAUGAAGACGAAGCAAAAAAAAUUUUAAACAAUUUGUUUCCAUCUUCUAUAAAGGGAGAUGGAAAGCCUGUUUUUAAUCUUGGAGUCUAUCAAGAUAAGGAUAACCAUGCAGCUAUGAUUGUUUCAGGAGCAAAAAGAGGCUCUGUCACUCUUAGAUCUAUGGAAGGAAAGUUUGUCAUGAAAGAAAAGAAGUAUAAACUCACAAAAAUUGAAAAGAAAGACUUUAGCAACGAACUAAAUGGCUUUCCUGAAAAUAAUGAUCCAGUAAAAGAUGGAGUUCCACACGUCAUCCAACCUAUUGGAGAGGAUGAAGAAAAACCUACAAAUGAUAAUGAACCUAUCCCAGGUGGUGGUAGUAUUGUAUUUGGUGCAGGCGAAGGUGGAUUGGCUAUUGAUUCUGAAGAACAUUCUCCUCCAGCAGCUUCAGAUGAUUCAACCUUUGCUUCUCCUACCCAAACACAAACAACUUGCAAAGAUAUCCACAUAGAGGUUAUGGCUGUUGUUCCUAAAGAUGUGUACCAAUUUUUCUACACUCGAGAAAGAGAAGCGGGCAGACCUCACGAUUUUGAAAUUAUUAAAAGACUUCUUCAACUUCAUUACGCAGAAAUUUUUAACGAUGCAGAUGUUGUUUACAAGAGUAUUGACGCCAGACGAUGGGGAAUUUGUGUCACUUUGUGGCUAUCCAAUUUAAAGUUUUUAGUGGAAAAUUCUCAAGAUGCCGCUCUCUACAGAGGUUCUUACCUUGCUAGAGGAACUAGUUACGAAACUGAUGUUGUAGAUUCAGAUACAAUUCUUGAUAAUCUUGGAGAAUGGAAAGUACGUCAAAGCUAUGGCUGGUAUAAGAUGGACGUUAUUGUAUUAUUUACAAAACGAAAUUUGGCUAGAAAAGAUCAAUCUGCUGCAGGAUACUCAGACGUCAUAAUAGGAACGGCCAGAUGGAAUGGUGUUUGCAAAUUUGGAAAAGAGGGAGGUUUAGCUGUCAUUGAAGAUAUAGGAAGCGCCUCCUGGUGGCCACUUGCACAUGAAGUUGCUCAUGUCAUAGGAGCUGUUCAUGAUGGAUCGGAUUCUGCUGUGUCAUGCGCAAAUGAUCAAAUGAACAUCAUGGCUCCCGUUCUGAGAACCAGAACACCAAGUCAAUAUGAAAAAGCCUAUAAAUUUUCGGAUUGUUCAAUUAGAGAUAUUAAGAGAUUAGUAACUGGAGAAGCAGAUAAAUAUAAAAGAACUUGUUUAGCAAAUAAAAACUGUGUUUCGUUUAAUAAACAAGAAGUCGGAACACUGGAUCCAAGCCUUGGAGACAAUUUCAGAACUAAAGAAUAUGAUCUCUCCAUAACAGAGCAAUGCAAAGCAAGAUUUACCUUAUCUCAUGGAGCCUGCCCUGAAAGUCAGAGACCAUGGGCAGUAGACAUCUGUAGUCACCUUUACUGUUCAGUACCGACUGAUGACCCUAAAGUAAGCAAAUGUGUUGUGCAUAAACUUGGAGCUGCUGAUAGGACACCAUGCGGUACUCUCGGUAACAGAUGGUGCUACAAAGGAGUUUGCAUAGAUAAAAGUGAAACACCUUCCGCUGAGGAAAUAGGAGUUUGUAAAUCGUUGCAAUUACCUCUAGGAGAAGAAUGCACUACUAGCGAUGUCGGCAAUGAUUGUUCAGGAUCUGUUAUAAAAACCCCCUAUCGCUGUCAGACUUCAAUUUUUAAGCCACUUUGUUGUAAUAGUUGUAGAAGAUAUAAUCUGUUAGGGGAUUUUUACGAUGUAAAGCUUACGCAAGAAACAACAAAAUGUAAAGAUACAGAUACAAAUUGCCCAAAUCUUGUUAAGAAGUAUACCUGCGAUUUGAUAAAGGAUCUUUGUCCUGUUACCUGUAACGCUUGUCCUACCUCUACUAUUAGCCCUACAGCUAACCCUUUUUCUACUCCCGUUCCCACUACUGUCGGACCGAAAUAUACCCAUCGACCUGGCCCAUGCAAUCCCAACCCAUGCCAAAACAACGCUGAAUGUUUGGAAUCUGUUGGAGGUGGAUACUUUUGCGAUUGCCCUCGAGGAUAUGACGGAUACGAUUGUCAAAUUUCGAUGUUUGAAAAUGGAUGUAGAGAUGACUCUGUAUUAUGUAAAAGAGAGCAAAGAAGUUACCUGUGUGAAGAUAAAGUAAGAAGACUUCAGUGCCGUUUAACUUGCAGCUUAUGCUCCCUCGAUUCCCAAAUUGGACCAGUUUGUGCUGAUGCACCUACCAUUGCUGGACUCGAUUGUAAUAAAAUAGUAUCCGAUAAUUGCGAUUCCUGUACGGCUGGAACCUUCUAUAGAAGCCAAUGUUGUAAAUCCUGUCAAGAUUUGACAGGAACUAUGUAUUUUGGAGCAAAUAGUUGCAUUGAUCCAUAAAACAUCACCUUUUAAUCCAUUCAUUCGUUAUUUUGCAGUUUUGAGAUAGACCAAAGUAAAUUACCCGGAACGCGAUUUCUUUUUUAUUCUUAUCAUUGAUUAUAUAUGAAUCUACUAGACAAAAAAUAGAAAUACUAUAUCCGUGCCAUAUAUAAAUAUAAAUGAUGAAAAAAGACAUAAAAAUAUUGUAUAUAUAUAUAUGAAUAUGUAUAUUUAUAUACAAUUUAUACAAUAUACUGCGUACAUAUGUAACGUAUGUAAAAUGUUUUGUUGUCUUUUUGAGAGAUAUGUAAAUAUCUUUCAAUUAACCAAAGAUUGGGCUCAUUAAAAGCUAUAUUUGUGAUAAUAUAUUUUUGUACAGAGGUCAAAGUAACUGAUAUAAAGUACUAAUAAUUUCAUUUGUUGCAAUUUUUUUUAAUAGUUAAAAUCGUGGAAAGAAGUUUGUUAAAAUUACUUCAAUAGUUAAAUAUAUAAACAUUUAUAAUGCUUUGACCAUGAUUUUGAAACAGUUUUCAAUGAUUUAUUUUGGUUUUUUUUCUUAUAUUUAUAUAUGAUAUGCAUUUAGAUUCAUUUAUACAGAAAGAGAAAGAAUUUACUUUUUCAAUAAACGUACAAUAGUUAUUAAACUUAACAAUUGUCGAUUUCUAUUUAUUUACAAAUCUAGCGUGUAUUGCAUAUAUUAUCUUUAUAUAAAAUAUCAUUUACUUGUAUAUUUACAACUACAGUACUAUUUGAUAUCAUUAAAUCGUUCAUCUUGUUAAACAAGAGAGUGUGGGGUAAUUUUAAAAGUCCUUUGACAGUUCACUGACUCGUCCCUAUUAUCAAUUCCUAAGAUUGAAUCAUAAUAUAUAGCGUUGUUCAGUUAUAGUCUGUUACAGUAGUAUAAAAAUAGCUUUUUUAAUAUUUUUACUAUUAUUAUUGUAUUACCACGAGUAUCCUUUAAAAUAAAUAUGAACGAAUAAUAAUUUUUUCCCCUUGUGCUGCCAUCUGUAUGGAGUUACUGCCAUGAUGGAUUGAUGAUUUUUUAUUGAUCGAAAUUUUUAAGUUAAAAGGCCUAAAAAGAAAAUCGUGUUCACCUUAAUUUCAGUAUUGAAAGAAUAAUGAAAAAAUUAUAAUUUACAACAGGAAUGAGAUAUAGAUAGAGAUAGAUAGAUAGAUAGAUAGAUAGACAGCAGACAGGCAGAGGCAGAAAACAAUGUUUCAAAGCUGGUAAAUUGAAUUCGACGGAUUCAAAAGCUUUUCUAAGCUAGAUAGAAAAUUGUUUACAUUUGAUAGUAAUUAAUUUCGAUAGGCUGUAUAGAACCUUGACUUUUUGAGAGUAAAUAUUAAUAAAUGAAAAAAUAUCACAUACAGAUUUCCAUAUUCUUUCUGUAGUUUACAGUAUGUACGAUAUAAACAAUAUACAGAAUAUAUAUAUAUAUAUAUGAAAAAAUCUGCGUCGCGAAUAAAGAGAGAAUUAUUUCACGUCGGAAGGACUUUAGUAUUGUUUGCUUUGGAUGACUUUUCCCAUCAAAAGAGGUCCGAAAAGUCUAAUAUAAAUGCAACUCUUAUUUACAAAACCAAUACGUUGUAUUUCUAUACUUUAUAACAGAAAUCUAAUGCACCGACAUUGAGACUCCAAAACAUACCUCAUUUUAAACCGAAGUAAAAGGCAGUUCUUUUAAACUUAUGUACUUUAUAAAUAGUAUUUCUUUUAAUCCUGUUCAUACUAGAUGAUAAAUAACCAGAUUUAUUAAACAUUUAUAUUUCUCA
rnacentral:misc_RNA from 1 species